AUACGGAGGAUGCGAGCGUUAUCCGGAUUUAUUGGGUUUAAAGGGUGCGUAGGCGGAACAAUAAGUCAGUGGUGAAAGACUGCAGCUUAACUGUAGACUUGCCGUUGAUACUGUUGAUCUUGAGUAUGGUCAAGGCAGGCGGAAUGUGUAAUGUAGCGGUGAAAUGCUUAGAUAUUACACAGAACACCGAUUGCGAAGGCAGCUUGCUGGGCCAUUACUGACGCUGAUGCACGAAAGCGUGGGGAUCGAACAGGAUUAGAUACCCUGGUAGUCCACGCAGUAAACGAUGAUCACUCGCUGUUGGCGAUACACAGUCAGCGGCUAAGCAAAAGCAUUAAGUGAUCCACCUGGGGAGUACGGCCGCAAGGCUGAA
rnacentral:rRNA from 1 species